rnacentral:tRNA from 1 species
GGCUGGAUAGCUCAGUUGGUAGAGCAAAGGACUGAAAAUCCUUGUGUCCCUGGUUCGAUUCCUGGUCCAGCCA